ACCCCUUGUGGUAAGGGACUUUUCAGAGUCACAUGUGACUUGUUCCUUAGCAGUUGAACUAGGGGAAGAUGACCAGGAUGGAAAUUGUGACAGUGAGAGAAGUUAGAACACUGGGCAGAGAGUCAGAAUAGCAGGGGAAAUGGGAAACAGAGUAGGUGCUCAGGGUUUUGGGAGGGAGCAGAUUGUCUUUGUUUCAGGCAGAAAAGUUUUGUCUUUUGGUUGAAUAAGGAAGUCAGAAGAGUGGUCUGUGGGGUAGGUUUAUUUAGAACAGAAAUCAAAGGACGACUUCUCUGAGAGAAAGAAGUAGCAUCUGCAAGGGUCAUGCUGUUUCUGCUACUCCCCUUGCUCGCUGCUCUCUUCCCAGGAGGUGACAGUGGGUUUGAGGAGUCUAUCUCGUACCAUCUCAUGCAAACCUCAUCCUUUCACAACCACUCCUGGGUACAUGUGGGCUCAGGCUGGUUGGGGGAGCUGCAGACUCACAGAUGGAACAGCAGCUCUAAUACCAUCAUUUACCUGUAUCCCUGGUCCAGGGGCAACUUCAGUAACAAGGAGUUGAUGGAUGUGGAAAGGUUGUUCCAGUUAUACUUCAAUGAACAUCAGGACUUUUAUAUUUCUCAAUUAAUGUUUAAAGAUCCCUUUGAUCUGCAGGUGACCGAAGGCUGUGAACUGCAUUCUGGGAAGGGCUUCCUAGGCUUCAAGCAGGUAGCUAUCCAAGGACAUGACUUCAUGAGCUUCCAGAAUGAAACAUUCUUACCAUCUCCAAAGGGUGGAGAAAAGGCCCAGAAAGCCUGCAAACUGCUCAAUUUCAAUGAAGCCUACACACAGAGGUUAUAUAGGCUCCUCAGUGACACCUGCCCGCGUUUCACCUUGGGUCUUCUAGAAGCAGGGAAGGCUCAUCUCCAGCAACUAGUGAAGCCUGAGGCCUGGCUGUCCAGAGGUCACAGCCCUGGGCCUGGCCAUCUGCUGCUGGUGUGUCAUGUGUCUGGAUUCUACCCAAAGCCCGUGUGGGUGAUGUGGAUGCGGGGUGACCAGGAGCAACGGGGCACUCAGAGAGGUGACAUCCUGCCUAAUGCAGCACCUCAGAGUGCCCUGGGCUUGAUCCUCUUUGCCAUGAUAGUGGCCCUGGCUCUUCUGACAGGUCUUGGAUUUUGGUUUAGAAAACGCUGGACACACUGUGAAGCUCCCUGAAGUUCUGGCCCUCUGAAGUGAGGACCCAGUCUACAUCUGAACACCACAGGGAUUUGUUGUUCUGACCUGGCUUCUGUGGCUUCAACUCUGAAUGGAACAGGAUGUUAGCAGUGUCAGCCUGGAUGAAUAAAAUGGAUCAUCAGAUGUAUUUCAGCUGUCACAUCCUCCAGGGGUCCUUCCUUGAUCCACAGUGGGAAGCCAUCUCCCCUCCAUUUGAGCAUCCCCAGAUUUCAACUGUGCCCCUUACUGCCUAGCAUCUGUGGCAGGUGUGUAGGUUCAUUUCUUCUUUUAAAAGUUUGAGAGCAAUGCACAUGCUUUUUGAGUGUCUGUAUCCCUGGUGAAAUGUUUGGCCUGAAUAAAACAUGCUAUCAAAAUAAAACCUGUGUUGAUUACGUAA